AUUCCAUGAUGAGGACAUCUCAUGAGUAGCUCCUUGAAUCUUUUCCAUGCAUCAUACAAUUUUUCAUCUUCAAGUUGAUGGAAAGAUGUGAUCUCAAUCCUCAAUUU
rfam:Citrus clementina cultivar Clemenules unplaced genomic scaffold scaffold_5, whole genome shotgun sequence.